UGUCAUUUUAUCAACGGUCGUACGCCCGGUCGUAGCUAAGAUUUGGUCGUACGACCGAUCUUACGGCUACGUCGCGUUUUAUCAUCAUGGUCGUAGCUAAGACGUCGUAAAUUUACGUCGUAACUUUAAGGCUGCUUCAGACCAGUCGUAAGUAGUCUAAAGAUCUUAAAAAUGGCGGCCAUUUUUGCAUAAUUCCCGAUAGGAACUUUCAAACACAAAUAUUUGAACAAUUGAAGUUUACAACUAACGUAGGUUUUCCGCGUACAUGUUAAUGUACAGUGCUGAUCCUAUUUUAACAUCCCAGGAACGCAACUAUCACUUCCAGUUUAAAUCUCUGGAUAAAUUCCACGAAGAAGCUAUGACCUUUCAAUGAAGUUGCUACAGUAUCUAGGUGAAAGACAUGUGUUAAUAAUGUGAAAUCAACAUGGCAACAUUAUGUUAACCUACAGUACAGUGCUGUUAUGGGAAUGCAUAUGAAACUGGGGCACUGUUGUUUGGUAAAGCAUGUACAUGAAUGCGAAAUGAGCAUUUUAGAUCCAAUUUGGUGUAUCACAUGAAAAGAGGAUUGUAAACAAAGGACAAGUAACUUGUGCAGACAGAUAUAAGGCAGCAUGAAUAGUUUGUACUUGGUGCAUCUGCUGUAAAAGAGGACAUUAACAAUGAUGAGGCUGUUUACCACCAGGAAUACUGCUGAAUUCUGGAAGAUUUACAGAUAAACAAUCCUAUGGUUGGAAUCAAUAUCCAAGGACAGCUCUCCCUUAAAGGGGCCAAUUGUUGUGACCUUGUUAUAUGGCCAACAAAGGACAUAAAAGUCCUAAAGAUAGUUAAGAAGAAAGUUAUAUAGACUAUUAAACAUUUUAUCAAUUUAAAUUGAAUAAAGUACAUUAUGUAUAAUUUAAUAAUUCCAUAAUAACUUUGUUUCUACAUGCACAUGAAUAAAAAUAACACUUAAGUAUGGUCACAAAGGGACAGUCAGUGCUCUACAAUUAUUACCCUGAAUGCAUGUAAGAAGCUUUAUGUGAAUGCUUUUUUUAUUAAUGAUUAAUGAAAACAUAUACAUAGGUUAAGGUCUUUAAGUUGUUUCUGAAUGUACAUGUUUGUACUGACUGUAUAUUCACUUGUCUUAAAUGUCAAAACUAUAGCUAUUAAUGUAUGUCAAAAUCAAAUAAUUAUAUUUCUUGAAGUGAUAACUUUACUGAAUUAUUCUCUUGAAUAACAUUAUGAAAUGUUUGAUUCAUGUUCAAAACUUGAAAGGAAUACACAGCAAAAUGAUGUUUUUCUCUGUAUUCAAUAUGAUUAAAGUGACUUUACAAAAACAAAGAUUUAUGUGUUACAAUUCAUCUGAAAGUAAAAUGACAUGAGAUAAAUCAAUGUAACAUAUGUGUUUAUAUUGAUAUUUAUUUAUUUAUUGUUACUUUAAUGCAUUAAAAAUUGUUGGGAUGAAUAUUAAAAACACAAAGAAAAUAACACAAAAGGGACAAUAAUGACAAUAAACAAUCUUAAUGUAAAGCUGUGAAACUUUGGAAGUGACAUUUUAUAUUUAAUGUGCUAAAUUUAUUCUUUGUCUUAACUGCUCUUGUCUGAAUAGUACCCUGUGUCUGUUAAAACAUAUUGUUUUAUAUUGUUAUCUAGUUUCAAGAUUGUUUUCUAGCAGAAAUGUACAUGAAUUCUAAACAGGUAUUAUCAAAAAUUAAUAAGAAUUAGAAAAAGUUGUAACAUGUCAUUUCAAUGUCAUAAUUUUCUGUGCAAUAUGUAUUCAUUUUCAUACUGGAAUAAUAGUAAAAGACUUUGUAACAUUCUAACACUUACUGUUCUGUAAAUACUUUUACAAAUAAGCCAGCCAUAUUGUUUUCAACUUUUCCUUAAUCUUAGCUGAAACUGCUGAGAAAGACUCUUCUAAUGUUUGCAGAUGUUGUUUAGCAUUUAACCUCAGAGCCCUGUACAAUUUAUUUUAUUCAAGCUGUGGCUCCUGUAACUUAUUCAAUGUCUUGAACGCACAUACAGUUUGAACCUUGAUGGGUGUCUCUGUAUUCAAGCAUCAACAGCGCU